AAAGNGUCUGAGUUGCAUUCAGGAGAUGUAUAUUAGAAUUAUGCGGCCUUUC
rnacentral:tRNA from 1 species